rnacentral:antisense_RNA from 18 species
AUUCUACCUUAUUUGAUAGUAGAUUUAAAACUUUGCAACAGAACCGUUCAUGGGUAUAGCAUGAAUUGUUUAACUGUCCUCUAGGAUUCCCGUCCUAUGGCAGUCGGUUC